UCUCGUCAGGCAGUCACCAGGAGUGGACAAAUUUGUGCUUCAGUCUUAACUUAAUGGUGUCCAUAGGUUAAAAAAAUACAUGUGAUCCAGAGAGUGUUUCCGUAAGAUGCUGAUUCCCAAUCCAGCAAACCACUUCAGGAUGUGAAAGUAUCAUUGUUUUCAUUUGUCAUUACCUGCUGUUUCAUACAGAAAGGGCCUACCUUGCACACCCACUACUACUGUGGGUCAGGGUGCUCUCUGGGUUUCCUUUUCUUCACAUAAACUAUCUCAUUAAGUAAAUAAAGAAGAUUGCUGAAGAACACCACCUGCUUUUCUGGUUUCAGUGGGGGAAAAAAAAAAUCACUUUUCUCCCCACAGCUUUUUUAAUCUCAUAAAUACAUCAUUUGAAUAGCGGAUUACUGCUCAGUUCCAGAUCAUAUUUUAUUUAAGUGUAUCUUAGGCUUUCAUUUUUGUCUUUUGUCAUAACUUCCUUGUCCCACAUUUAUCAAACAAAGCUUAACUAACAGCUCAUUUUUGUUUGUUUGGUGCAGUGUGGGUUUUUGCCAACCACAAACAUAAUUUAUUUAUUUAUUUGGUUUGGCAAAUGGUAAGGCUUUUUUCUCACAUAACUUUCCUUGCAGUUCUCUUUUACUCUUGCUAAACACAUCACUCCAUUAAGCAAUGAAGCCUGCUACCUCUAUAUACCCACCUCCCCCCCAAGGAUCACCUCAUUUAUCACAAAGAUUCAGCAGUGAAACAGUCAUCAUUUUAUUUUGCUGCUUUCUUCACGGGACUAAGAAGGAUAGUUUUAUGAGGUUGUUUGUGAAUUAGCAUCUAUAAUUUUCCCUUUGCCCUCUGAUCUCUCUGUCUGAGACCCUUGGCAAGAACAGAACAAAAUGAGUGGAAUUGAAUAUAAAACCAUGGGAAAUGCUGUGCCUGAAUUUGUUUGGCUCAACAGCUGGAUGAAAACAACUUAAGUGAUGUUAAGCUUAUUAAUACCACGUGAGAAUUAAGGAUUUCAACCAAUGAGAUAAUUAGCAUUUGUAUGCUCUGAAGCAAAUAGAGAAAACCAGGCUAACCUAGCUCUUCAUAAACACUGGUCCAGUUUAACGGGGUUAAUCCAAGCUUUGGAUGCUCACGUUUUGAUGCAGUAAACAGUUGAGCAAGUGGAUCCAAGAGGACCAGAACCAAUCAAGUCAGGUCUAAGCAAUCUCUGCCAGUGCAAAUUUUCUGAAGGCUGCAAGAAAUCAGCUUAUUAGCCUUUUUCUCAGUAAGAACACUGGCAUGGUGUCUGCAGGAGUUUCCUCUCUUAAACCUCCUGCUUUACAGUCUUAUUGAGAUAACUGUCACAUUCAAAACUAUUUAAGGGAAAGGGAAAACAAAUACUCAUACACUCAUACACUCACACGCACAGACACUCCCAUGUACACACACAGGGAACAGGAUUGCAUAAACUCCAUUUCCUUAGGAAGCAGGACUAAAAUUGAAGUGUUUACAUGAAAUAGCAAAGCAAAGCAGCCAAGGCUUUGGAAGGCUUUCAGCCAGAAUCUUGUCUUCUGUAAAUCAGUGUGGAGGGCAAUAGAGCAGCACCAAUUUGCACCAAUUUGGGGCAUCUGGCCCUUAUUCUUGACUAGUCCAUUGUAUAUCCAGUCUUUGCAAAAUGAAAAUGUCAGGUUUUUGAGACCAGGAUCAAAGAUGUGUUGGAAAGGACGUUUACUAGGGAAUUGAAAACCCACAAGGGAUAGAGCAUGAAGGCUAAAUAAUAUUAUUUUAAAGUAAUGGCUACAACAUUUUCAGGAAGCUUGCUUUCCCUGGAUACAUCCCAUUUUAAGGCAUCACUGUUCAGUCUCAUAAAGAAUGCUGUUGCUUACAAAAUAACCUCUAGUUCUUCUUGCUGUUUCCAUUACUGCAUUGAUCAAUUUGAAAUGUCUGUUUGCUUGACAUGACGGGGAGUGCAAAUGAUCUGAAAUGUGAUAUAGUGUUGCAAGAUGAUUUGAACCACUCUUUACAUCUUUCUUCCUUUUUUCAGAAGGAUGACAGUAAGCCAAAAGUGUAAAUGAAACCUGAUUUAGGGAAGCACCUACCACAGUUAUGGCCUGCCUUGAUUCAUUGUUAUGUGCAUUGGAAUCUGGCUGACCAAGAAGUGAUGGGAAUGUCUUCUUCCGAGAAGAUAUUUCAUAUGCUACAAAAUAGUUUAGAUUCAGCCAAGCUUCAGGAAAACAUAAAAUAGAGCUGACAUUAGCUCGAAAUCCAGGAUCCAUGCACCUUUAAAAUUCUGGAGAAGUUCAGGCAUGGAGCCUAACUUGGGCAUUUUCUCAGAUACUUCAUAACAGCAAAUUCAUGCUGAAAGUGCCUCUGAGGAACUUCAUGAUGUGACUGAUGCGCAUCUUCUGAACUGUUCUUCCUCCUGCAGGUGAUGCCACCAGCCUGAAAGAGCAUGAAACAGCCCUACUGUUGUUCAGUGCUCCCUUCACUGCUGUUUCCUCAUGAAUCCAAGUACUACGUCCACAAGAACAUCUUGUUGUCCACAGCAAUUAAAAAAUCCAGAAUGUACUAUGUGUUCCUUGGAUAGUGGACAACAGGCUGGAUAGUUCCAGAUAAGCAGUGAAAACUAGUAGUAGCUCUUCCGGUAUUGGUGUAAACCUGAUGGAAGAUCAGACUCGGACGCAAGAGAUUUAUUAAUCUGUUUUACCCAAAUGGCCACGGUUUCAAAAGGUCUUAAAAAACAUAGCAACAAUACAUUCCAACACUUCCCUCUGAUUAUGGGAAAGCACCCUGCUCUCCAAGCCUAGACUAAAAACUCAUCCCCCCAAGUUGGUCUUUUAAAUGACCUGUGAGGCCCCCAUCCUGCGAUAACACCACCCUGCCUUCCCCAGGCAGAUUCCUCUAUCUGCACGGCAGCCUUGGACUCUUUCUGGGGUUGUGCACGACCUCAGGGACCUAUCAGCAUGGAGCUCGCUGGAAGAUGGAUGGCUCCAAGAAAACUGAGGGAAGAGUCAGACUUGGUUGGAAAUGUUUAGCAGCUUCUCUUGGGAAAGCUGGAAAAAGCCUGAAUAACUGACAGGAACAGGAGCAGGCAUGGACAGAUCUCUAAUGCAAACCCUGGCUAAAUUUGAAUAGUCCUGUGGACGUCAGUAAACCACAAAGAAAACGCUGUCUUUUAAUAGUGAUCGUGAGCAUUUCUACAUGUGCUGAAUGUUUAAUUUGAGAUUCUUGGGUAAAUUUAUAGGUAUUUACUUUUUUCAGUGCAUGGGUAAGCUGCGGUAUUAUGGAGGAUUUGGCAGCUGAUUCUCUGCAGAUAACAGCUGCAGAUCUGGAUCCAUAACCUAGGAAUCCUGAUUACUAGAUAAUUGCUCCACAACGCAUCCAGAGCAUAAAAAAAAAAAAAACAAUAAAUCAUCUCUCUUUAAACAA